rnacentral:ncRNA from 1 species
UCUGCUGUUUGGCGGCCAAUGCGUCAUUUAGCAGUCGGGAUGGUAUACUAGCUGGCACACAGCGUAGGUUUCUAAGUCGGUUUUCAGAGAGAAUGGAAACCUGUCGUAGAGCAAAAAGUGCCAGAUUUUCAGUACAAGUACAGACCGCAGAAGGUGGCCUAUCGAUGCUUUUAAUCCAGAUCGUUUUUGGUAAAAGAUGUCAGAAAAGUUUCCACAUGGAUAACUGUCUUGUGGAAACGAAGUAUCCACAGCGACGUUGCUUUUUAACAUCUAAGU